rnacentral:rRNA from 1 species
UACGUAGGGUGCAAGCGUUGUCCGGAAUUAUUGGGCGUAAAGAGCGUGUAGGCGGCCCGACCAGUCCGCUGUGAAAGUCCAGGACUCAACCCUGGAAUGCCGGUGGAUACUGUCGGGCUUGAGUACGGAAGAGGCGAGUGGAAUUCCUGGUGUAGCGGUGAAAUGCGCAGAUAUCAGGAGGAACACCAGUGGGCGAAGGCGGCCGGCUGGGGGCGCCCUGACGCUGAGGCGGCGAGAGCGUGGGGGAGCAAACCGG